rnacentral:rRNA from 1 species
UAAGGAAUAUUGGUCAAUGGACGCAAGUCUGAACCAGCCAUGCCGCGUGAAGGAUGAAGGUCCUCUGGAUCGUAAACUUCUUUUAUCUGGGACGAAAACGGGAUUUUUAUCUCAAUUGACGGUACCAGAGGAAUAAGCACCGGCUAACUCCGUGCCAGCAGCCGCGGUAAUACGGAGGGUGCGAGCGUUAUCCGGAUUUACUGGGUUUAAAGGGUGCGUAGGUGGGCUUAUAAGUCAGUGGUGAAAUCCCGUGGCUUAACCACGGAAUUGCCAUUGAUACUGCUGUUCUUGAGUACGCUCGACGUGGGCGGAAGGUGCCGUGUAGCGGUGAAAUGCUUAGAUAUGGCACAGAACACCGAUAGUGAAGACAGCUCACGAGGGCGAAACUGACGCUGAGGCACGAAAGCGUGGGGAUCAAAC